AUGAUCUCCUCAUCUCUCUGGUUGUUGCUGCUGCUGGCAGCUGUUUCUCGUGUCCACUGUGUUGAACUGACUCAGACUGAUUCUCUUGUCUUAAGUCCUGGUCAGGUUUUGACUCUGUCCUGUAAAAUCUCUGGAUAUUCAGUGACUGACAGCAGCUACUGUACUAACUUCAUUCGGCAGCCUGCAGGAAAAGCCCUGGAAUGGGUUGGAGGGAUGUGUGGUAGCGGUAACACAUGUUACAGUGAUAAACUGAAAAGUAGAUUUCAAGUUACUCUGAAAGGACAGAAUAUGCAGACUGAGGAGACAGCUGUGUAUUACUGCGCCAGAGAGUCACAGUGA